UCAAAAGUGCUUUUUAUUUCAGCAAUCAAUGUUCAAGUACAAAGUGUCGACGUUUCAGUCCAACCGGACUUUACUGAAGACAAUUUAACAGUGUUAUACAACUCAUUGAAAUAUGCAGUGCUCAAACAUUCAUUGGAGGGUGUUAAGGUGUGAUGUCAUUAAUGACGUAUCUCAUUUCAAAUGAGUCAUCUGUGUAAUUAAUCCCCUAAUUCCCCAGAAGUGAGUAAUUAGGUGUUCAGAGGUGAUUAAGAAAACUAACUUCUAAAACAAAUAUAUACAUAUAUGUUGUGGAAAUAAGG